UGUCAGGAAGGCGACAUACAGGUGUAUUUAGUGGAUGAGUUAUCACUUCGCUGUAUGGUUGCUGGUGCUGAGAAAUGCCUCGAUGACAUUUUCAUUGUUAAAAAUGGACUAUGGAAACAAGAUCAGUCAACAUGUGUGAGUGCACCUUCACCAAUCCCACAAAUGCCUCUGCUCUCACGAAUUUAUUGCCCUUGGGAGAGCCUCAGCAAGACAGUACUUGAUGCAUUGGAAGCAGACAAUGUUCCGCUUCCCUCUCAACGACAGGAAGUGGCACACAUGGCAGCGUCAUGGCCCUGCAUAUCCAUUGAAGGUGGGAGGCACUCCUGAUAUUUAUUCACAGGUAUAUUUGCUGUUUGCAUGGCUUACCUGGAUAGAGUACAGCAGAUAUAAAAAAAAAUGUUGUGACAUGCAUUGAAAUGUUG